rnacentral:rRNA from 1 species
CAAUAGCGUAUAUUAAAGUUGUUGCAGUUAAAAAGCUCGUAGUUGAAUUUCGGGUCCCCGCGCUCGGCGCUUCAUUGUGCCGUCGUGGUGUCCCUCCUCGCCGUAAGGCGUCCUUUACUGUGAAAAAAUUAGAGUGUUCAAAGCAGGCAAUCGCUUGAAUACAUUAGCAUGGAAUAAUAAGAUAGGAUCUUGUCUAUUUUGUUGGUUGCGGACAACGAUAAUGAUUAAUAUGGAUAGUUGGGGGUGUCCGUAUUGAGCUGUCAGAGGUGAAAUUCUUGGAUUUGCUCAAGACGAACUACUGCGAAAGCAUUCACCAAGGAUGUUUUCAUUAA